rnacentral:rRNA from 1 species
GACGAACGCUGGCGGCGUGCUUAACACAUGCAAGUCGAACGGAAAGGCCCUGCUUUUGUGGGGUGCUCGAGUGGCGAACGGGUGAGUAACACGUGAGUAACCUGCCCUUGACUUUGGGAUAACUUCAGGAAACUGGGGCUAAUACCGGAUAGGAGCUCCUGCUGCAUGGUGGGGGUUGGAAAGUUUCGGCGGUUGGGGAUGGACUCGCGGCUUAUCAGCUUGUUGGUGGGGUAGUGGCUUACCAAGGCUUUGACGGGUAGCCGGCCUGAGAGGGUGACCGGCCACAUGGGGACUGAGAUACGGCCCAGACUCCUACGGGAGGCAGCAGUGGGGAAUAUUGCACAAUGGGCGGAAGCCUGAUGCAGCAACGCCGCGUGCGGGAUGACGGCCUUCGGGUUGUAAACCGCUUUCGCUUGUGACGAAGCGUGAGUGACGGGAAUGGGUAAAGAAGCACCGGCUAACUACG